CAUCAUCAAAAAAUGCUAUAAUGGUGUUAAAAACACGUAUUUGAUCUGAGCGGGUCUUUAAAAUGAGGUAGAUCACUGAGUAAACAAACAACUUGAAUUGUUUACUUGCAUUUUUUUCUUUUUUUACUUGUGGAACUGGCAUCAGUAUGCAGGAGAGACACAAACUUUAUCAUAUUUUAGUAGAGCCACAUGUGAGGUGCACUGUGUUGGCUCAUGAUUGCAUUGGCAUAUGUUUGCUUGUCAGACUUUCAUGCACAUGUGAGCUGUACAUAUUUGUGUGCACUCAUGUUUGUGGGCGUAACUUGUUCUAACAGUUUGGGAACAUUUGGAUAGUGGAAGACCACGUGCCUCAUUUGUCAGCAGAUGGGCUGAUCAAAUGCCAGAAAAACUGCAAAACCCUCUAAUCAGCCUGACAAGAGCUGCCAGAUUCAAAAAGGCGUUCUCCUAUAACUGGCUCUAAUAACCUUUUUUCCAGAUUAGUUAUUACAAAAAGGAAUUUCUGUUAAAUUGCAAUUUUGUGAGCUGUCAAGGGGGUGUACCCUGCCUUUGCCCACAAGUGGCUGGGUUAGGCUCUGAAAGGGACAAAACGGGUUUAGACAGUGGAUGGAUGGAUUGCAAAUCUGUUACGAUUUAAAAGGAAGCUACAAAUUAUAAAAAAAAAAAAAGUAAAAAAAUAAUAUUCUAACUUAUCUUUUUUUCCAUGAACCUUUUGUGAUAAUGAAUGCCAUCAUAAUUUUUAGUCUGUCAAAUUGGCUAUAAUUUCUUUAGCUAGAUUAACUGCUGCUCCCACUCUUAUUGGAUCUGUCUUUGUCACGGUGGCCUCUGUCAGUGCUCCUCUCCCUCCCCUCUCUCUGUGCACCUGAAGAUUGAUACCAGCUGUGGACACUUUGCUCAUCACCUCACCGCCUUCUUAAGGGGAUCCAGACCAGCAGUCAUCGCCAGUCCGUUGCCUACUUCGGUUUCCAGAUCCACGAGUGUCCACCUGGGAGAUCUUCAGCUCGCUCCACACCAGCCUCGCCUCGAAGUCACGCCACGUUCCUCGCUCACCUCGGGUCCCAAGACAUCAGACAGUGCGCGGCGAUCCGCACCGCACGUCUCGCUCCGCUCCAGCCACGCCACGCUCUCAGCUUAGCUCUCAAGCCCCUACGAGCCACGCCGACUCCUCGCCAGAGAUCCAAGCCAGCACUAAGUAACAACCAGAACUGUUAUCUCCUGCCUGGAUAUUAAAGACUCUUUGUUAAUUGCUACUUGCCUGAGUUUCCUUCCGGGGUUUACAGCGUCUGGGUCUGCCGCGUCCCUUCCGUCAUGACAGUCUUAUUGUAAAUGGACCUCAAUUUUUUUUGGAAGCGAAACAAAUCCACAGUUGCUGUGUGUCUUUUUUUCUGUUAGGCUCAAUAAAGAAAACAUCAGAGGUUUAAAGUAAAUCCUUUUUAAGGCAAUUUGAAUAUGACACUGGAUGAGGUUAGACUUAUUGGAAAGGCAUGGCGAGGAGAGUUGGAGUGGACCGGAUACAUGCACGGGGAUAAACAAGGAUACUACACAGUCAGAGCACCAAUUCAGUUCAGGUUUACGAGACAGGCCACUCACAAAAGAUAAUACAUACGGCAA